UCUAACUGCAUGGAUUUCUUUCCAAGCUGUACAGUCUCCUGACUUCAGGCAGCAAUCUAAAUGUCUGCUACAGUCUGUGGGCCUAAUAUGUUGGCCUAACAGAAGACCAGAAGAGAAAAGACAUUUUGUAUGGAGUGAAGGGUUUAAUGUUCACCUGAUAAUUAUUUUACUUUGUACAGUCAAUUUUUAUUUCUAGAUAUCAUCAAUCCGACACCUUAAAUGUGCUAUAUCCUUCUUCAUAAUUAAUGAUAUAGCUGUGGAGAAGGAUGAUUUAUGAUUGAGACAUAUGAUCUUAUGGCUUGAAGGCACAUGUAGAUAAUUAAAUUCAGACAAUACACAAAACAGUGGAAAUGUUUCCCGGUAACACAAGUAGCUGCAUAUAUAACAAGGUUAGCCAGGGGACCACCGAUCACUGCAGUGUAGUAGUGACUGUGUGUGUGGAGGUACAUACUCAAAAUCAAGAGGGCUUUCCAAUGUGAGCUACACAAAAUCAAUGGCUGCUGACUAUACUCGUGUGAUGUUCAAGGCAGACUUUGGGCAGGAGGUGUAGUGUUAUAAUUACUAAGGAAAUCAUCCUCCAUCUCUGGUGUGUGUAUGACUAGUGUGGAAUAGUCUGACAAUGGUGUAUGACUAGUGUGGAAUAGUCUGACAAUGUAGCAGACCAGAGUAGCAUAGUUACAGGAGCUGACAGUUAUAUAUAGCUAUACAACAUCACCAGUCUGACCACUGACAGGAGGAAGCUUCAUGAAAACUUACAGGAGAUAGCAGAUGGCACUUAAGAAGUUGACUAGUGGCAUAUAGCCAUACAGAUUAUAGCUAUACAGAUCAACUUAUUAGGAGCUGACCAGUAGUAGCUAUACAUAUUGUAGCUAUAUGGAUUAAACUCGAGGAGCUGACCAGUGGCAUAUAGCUACAGCAUUACACUUAAGAGUAUCUUCCAGUGGCAUAGUUACAGGAUCAGACUUACAGUAUUUGACCAGUGGCAUAGUUACAGGAUCAGACUUACAGUAUUUGACCAGUGGCAUAGUUACAGGAUCAGACUUACAGUAUUUGACCAGUGGCAUAGUUACAGGAUCAGCCUUACAGUAUUUGACCAGUGGCAUAGUUACAGGAUCAGACUUAAAGGAACUGACCAUCAACAUAAUUACAGCAUCAAACUAAAUGUCAGGGAAAUAGUGUAUGACAUGUAGCAGUACAGAGAUCCACAGAAACAGUGACCUAAUAUAUUCUACUAUCACUGAUGCCAACUCUUUGUCAGCAAGGUCAAAUCCAAAGAUGUCAGCUUCAGCAUUCUGAGUCUGUUUAGAGAGUUUAUCUGAAGAUGAUAGAGUAUUAAAGACAGAUUGGAGUAAUCAGAUCUGUCAAAAGCACACCUCUCUGACAACUAUGUUUGAUGAGUUGUGAGCAUCCCCUGAACUUUUAUUUUAGGGUGUAUAAGUACACAACAGAGAAAUGUUGGUGUACCCAAAGUCAGUAUACUUUGUGCUGGUCAUAGACGGAAUUUUAAUUCUGAUUUUCCUUGGACUACUCUUAAUAGCAUACUCGCUCCAUCUCCUUUGUCAGAAGUGUCUGCCUGAACCUUUCAAGAAAGAUAGGAUACAAAAGAUCAAUAUUCAGUAUGAAACAGUGUGAUCUCUGCAGGAAGAUGGAGCCUUUUUGACCAAUGACUUGUUAGUUUUACAUGUUUUGAGAUUUUAUGUGCUACCUUACACAUAUACAUGUAUAUGUGAUAUCAGAGGUAAGGUUGCAUGCUACAUAUUAUACAUGUACUGUAAUGUAAGGCUGUAUGAUAGAUUUAACAUGUACUGUAAUAUGUGAUAGAGUUAAGGCUGUAUGAUACAUUUAACAUGUACUGUAAUAUGUGAUAGAGUUAAGGCUGUAUGAUACAUUUAACAUGUACUGUAAUGUAUGAUAGAGUUAAGGCUGUAUGAUACAUUUAACAUGUACUGUAUUGUGUGAUAGAGUUAAGACUGUAUGUUACAUUUAACAUGUACUGUAAUGUGUGAUAGAGUUAAGGCUGUAUGAUACAUUUAACAUGUACUGUAUUGUGUGAUAGAGUUAAGGCUGUAUGAUACAUUUAACAUGUACUGUAUUGUGUGAUAGAGUUAAGGCUGUAUGCUACAUUAUACAUGUACUGUAAUAUAUGAUAGAGUUAAGGCUGUAUGAUACAUUUAACAUGUACUGUAAUGUAUGAUAGAGUUAAGGCUGUAUGAUACAUUUAACAUGUACUGUAAUGUAUGAUAGAGUUAAGGCUGUAUGUUACAUUUAACAUGUACCGUAAUAUGUGACAGAGUUAGGGCUGUAUUUGCUACAUUAUAAAUUAUUCAUGUAAAUGUGAUAGAGUUAAUGCUGUAUGCUACAAUACACGACAUCUGAUGUGUGUUAGAGUUAAAGCUAGAAAUAUGCUACCUUACACAUGUGCAUUACACCUGUGAUGUGUGAUAGAAUUAAGCUUGCAUCAUCUGUAGCAUAUACCUAUAUUAUACAUUAUAUAGCUGCGUUAAGGCUAUAUUAUGUGUAAUGUCCAUGUAAAGUUGUAUGCUACUUGCACCUAACACAUACAUUUAAUGUGUGAUAGAGGUAAUACUGUAUACUACCUAACACAGACAUGGAAUGUGUAAUAGAGUUAAGGCUGUAUACUACCUUACACAGACAUGUAAUGUGUGAUAGAGUUAAUACUGUAUACUACCUAACACAAACAUGUAAUGUGAGGUAGAGUUAAGGCUGUAUCCUACCUUACACAUACAUGUAAUGUGAGGUAGAGUUAAGGCUGUAUCCUACCUUACACAUACAUGUAAUGUGAGGUAUAGAGCUAAGGCUGUAUGCUACCUAACACAUACAUGUAAUGUGAGGUAGAGUUAAGGCUGUAUGCUACAUAACACAUACAUGUAACGUGUGAUAGAGUUGUAUUGUAUAGGGGGUUAUCCCUAAGUUAUUGUGAUAGGCAGCAUACAUCUUUAAAUAUCCAAAUAUAUUGAAAUUAAGCCUAAUAAAAAAUAACCAUGUCCAGAUCAUGGGGCCAAAAUCCACUUUCUCUUCAAACAUUUUGUUUUAUUAUAUUUUUGAGUUUUCAUUGUUACACUUCAAUGUUGAAAUUAUGGAGAUGACAAGAAAUAAAAAUCAAUUUUGAA